rnacentral:rRNA from 1 species
AGCCGACCUUGAAAUACCACCCUUUAAUGUUUGAUGUUCUAACGUGGACCCGUAAUCCGGGUUGCGGACAGUGUCUGGUGGGUAGUUUGACUGGGGCGGUCUCCUCCUAAAGAGUAACGGAGGAGCACGAAGGUUGGCUAAUCCUGGUCGGACAUCAGGAGGUUAGUGCAAUGGCAUAAGCCAGCUUGACUGCGAGCGUGACGGCGCGAGCAGGUGCGAAAGCAGGUCAUAGUGAUCCGGUGGUUCUGAAUGGAAGGGCCAUCGCUCAACGGAUAAAAGGUACUCCGGGGAUAACAGGCUGAUACCGCCCAAGAGUUCAUAUCGACGGCGGUGUUUGGCACCUCGAUGUCGGCUCAUCACAUCCUGGGGCUGAAGUAGGUCCCAAGGGUAUGGCUGUUCGCCAUUUAAAGUGGUACGCGAGCUGGGUUUAGAACGUCGUGAGACAGUUCGGUCCCUAUCUGCCGUGGGCGCUGGAGAACUGAGGGGGGCUGCUCCUAGUACGAGAGGACCGGAGUGGACGCAUCACUGGUGUUCGGGUUGUCAUGCCAAUGGCACUGCCCGGUAGCUAAAUGCGGAAGAGAUAAGUGCUGAAAGCAUCUAAGCACGAAACUUGCCCCGAGAUGAGUUCUCCCUGAGACUUAGAGUCUCCUGAAGGAACGUUGAAGACGACGACGUUGAUAGGCCGGGUGUGUAAGCGCAGCGAUGCGUUGAGCUAACCGGUACUAAUGAACCGUGAGGCUUAACCUUACA